rnacentral:rRNA from 1 species
ACGAACGCUGGCGGCGUGCUUAACACAUGCAAGUCGAACGGUGAAGCGAGUGCUUGCACUCGUGGAUCAGUGGCGAACGGGUGAGUAACACGUGAGUAACCUGCCCAUCACUCUGGGAUAAGCACUGGAAACGGUGUCUAAUACUGGAUACGACCAACCCUUGCAUGGGGUGUUGGUGGAAAGAUUUAUCGGUGAUGGAUGGACUCGCGGCCUAUCAGCUUGUUGGCGGGGUAAUGGCCCACCAAGGCGACGACGGGUAGCCGGCCUGAGAGGGUGACCGGCCACACUGGGACUGAGACACGGCCCAGACUCCUACGGGAGGCAGCAGUGGGGAAUAUUGCACAAUGGGCGAAAGCCUGAUGCAGCGACGCCGCGUGAGGGGUGACGGCCUUCGGGUUGUAAACCUCUUUCAGCAGGGAAGAAGCGAAAGUGACGGUACCUGCAGAAGAAGCACCGGCUAACUACGUG